UGCAAUUCUAGGGAGGGCCCCCACCUCUGACCGUGGAUUCCAAGGCGAGGGGUAAUCUCAUCAGCCACAUCUGAGGAUUCUGCGGACGGGGAAGAGGAGGAGGAGGACGAGCUUGCGGAGAGCACACAGCACUCUGUUCUCCCCAACAGCCAGGAUCUUUUUCUCAGCCUGACUGAAGUACCCUCCCAAGCCAGUACCCAAGACCAUGACCCCAUGGAAGGGACCUCAGCAGCUGCAAAUUUUUCAAGCCUCCCUCCUCCAUCCCAAAGGCUAUCUCAGAUAAGGCGGCGAAGAAAGAGGAUGCGAGACGAGAUGUUCUCGGAAAUGAUGGAAUGCACCUGCAAUGAAAGAGCUCAUUUGAAUGAGUGGAAGGACACAGUAUCUAAGUACAGGAAAGAUGCCAGUGAACGUGAGGUCAUGAGGGACGCUUGAGAUGAGAGGUGGCAGGCUGCAAUGCUGGGGCUGCUGCAUGAUAAAACGGACAUGCUCUGGCAUCUGGUGGAGCUUCAGAAAUGGCAGCAGGAUAACAGAGUGCCGCUGCAGCUGCUGUAUAACCUCCCUCCCCCCUCACCAUGUUCCAUAGCCUUCUCACCCAGACGUGUAAGAACGCGGGGGGGAGGCUCUGUGCACCCUCCCACUCCACCCCAGUGGACAGCCCAACCAAAAGGCUGUGAUUAUAUUGAAUUUUUUCAGUGGCCUUUUACUUCUCUCCUAUCCUCCUCCCAAACCCCACCCGGGUUACCUUUUUUGUUCUCUCCCUAUGUUUAUAAUCAAUUAAUAAAGAAUACAUGAUUUUUAA